rnacentral:tRNA from 1 species
AGCCCCGGAGCCCUUUUGGGGCUCUUCUUCAAACUUGCAUUUUGAUGUACAUCACUUCGAGACUU